rnacentral:lncRNA from 1 species
AAAAACAUUUACACCUCCUAGCAUCAAUAUAUAUAUAUUUUGCCUUAUUCCUUUUGCUCAGUCUAGCUAUAUAGCUCCCUAUCAUGGCCGAAAAACUCCAAUCCUUUGCUUUCAUUGUUAUUAUUCUGUCGUGCCCUUCCUGGCUGAACAUCUGAUACAAGCUAUAAUCUAAACCUGAUUUCGAGGAGCAGGGACCUUCACUCAAAGAAGAAGGAAUUCAGAAAGGACAUUUUUCAUUGCCUUUGCUUGAUCUUACAUGUAUUAUUUAUAACCAUCCUGCAUAACAGAAUUCUAAUCUUUUCGUACAAAAUGGAAUAUUACAGGAUCAAGUUUGCUAAGUCUGUCUCCUACUACCCGACAGAAUCAAGCAAGGCUGAUAUGCUAAUUCCUAAUUCACCCUCAAAUGUAAUCCUUGAGGUAAGCUGGUCUUGCUACUCUUCUCUUGGGCUUAUCCAUUGCUGUUUGCACCUGUGUUACUGCUUGCACCCCUGUAGUUGUGUGUUCUGCAUCCGUAUCAACAUCCAACAUGGGAUGGCACGACCACUUAACACACUAGUGCUACAUGGAGAUGCAGAUGCUGAUCAAGAACCAAUUAUGAGACCCAUUUUGGAUACAUCACACAAAGUUGUGAGAAGCUCGAAUAUUAAUGUGGGUGUGAUAUCGAUCGAUGGACAGAAGAAUAUCGUUCGGAAACUAGUAAUUGACAACACUGAUCCAAGCCCCAAGGGACCAGGGCAUAAAGGGCUACUAACUUCAGACUCUCAACUCAACAAUUAGAGCUACAUAACUAACAAAAUUACCACUCAGCUAGCACUCUUCGUUUUUAUGUAAUUUUAAGCUUGAUAUUCUGUCAUUGUCAUUGUCUCUGUUUUAUUUUAUUUAUUUCGCUUUUAUUAUUUAUGAAGGGGGAAAUGGAGAAUGCUUUGUCAUUGUCAUAUGUGAUACUGUUGAGAUCUUAUACACAAUUAAUGAAAUCUGUGAUGUAAUUUAUCUAUAUGCAACGUGUAU